rnacentral:rRNA from 1 species
AUGCCGCCGCCGAGGCCGCCUUCCACCACCUCCGCGGCUCCCACCCGGAGCCCCGUGUGCUGCGCCUCGCCUCAUCACCCGCGACGCCAACUACCCCCCUCUCCCCCACGAGCUCCGCGCCAUGGCCGCUGUCCUCCUCCGCAAGAUCCUCUCUCCACGGCCUCCUCUGACUCGUCCACCUCCGAGCUCCGUGUCAUGGCCGCUGUCCUCCUCCGCAAGCUCCUCUCCCCCGAAGGCCUCUUCCAACUCUGGCCCCUCCUCUCCCCCGAGGGUCAGGCCGCACUCAAGUCAAACCUCGUCAACGCAUCCGGCAGUGCCGCAACAACCUUGACGGAGCUCGCUGCUGCUGCUCACUCUUAUCUCCACCGGGCUGGAGUAUUCAUCCCUGGCUUGCUUGCAGGAGAACCUAGACGCGGGUCAUUUACUUUCAGCAUCUUGCUCAAGGAGCUAUGUUGGCCAUACAGUGCAUCAAGUUGCACACAAUUUUUUGCUUGGCCAAAAAUGGUCGUAGAAGGAGAUGCGGCUCCUAGUGAAGGAGAGAAGGGAGAUAAUGGUGGCAACGGAGGAGAGAUAGGAAGAAGUGGCGCCAGCGUGAAGGAGGAAAUAGAAGACGUGUCGAUGGCCGAUGCUUUUUUAGUUUUGUCUCAUGUGGGGACCAGGUUUCUUAUUUAG